rnacentral:rRNA from 1 species
GACGUAGGGCGCGAGCGUUGUCCGGAUUUAUUGGGCGUAAAGAGCGUGUAGGCGGCCAUACAGGUCCGUUGUGAAAACUGGAGGCUUAACCUCCAGACGUCGAUGGAAACCGUAUGGCUAGAGUCCGGAAGAGGAGAGUGGAAUUCCUGGUGUAGCGGUGAAAUGCGCAGAUAUCAGGAGGAAUACCGGUGGCGAAAGCGACUCUCUGGACGGCAACUGACGCUGAGGCACGAAAGCGUGGGGAGCAAACAGG